UACGUAGGGUGCAAGCGUUGUCCGGAAUUAUUGGGCGUAAAGAGCUCGUAGGCGGUCUGUCGCGUCUGCUGUGAAAACUCAGGGCUUAACCCUGAGCUUGCAGUGGGUACGGGCAGACUAGAGUGUGGUAGGGGAGACUGGAAUUCCUGGUGUAGCGGUGAAAUGCGCAGAUAUCAGGAGGAACACCGAUGGCGAAGGCAGGUCUCUGGGCCACUACUGACGCUGGAGAAGCGAAAAGCAUGGGGGAGCGAACAGG
rnacentral:rRNA from 1 species